rnacentral:rRNA from 1 species
CCCCAAAAAAGACACCCCAGUUCGGAUUGUACUCUGCAACCCGAGUACAUGAAGCUGGAAUCGCUAGUAAUCGCGAAUCAGAAUGUCGCGGUGAAUACGUUCCCGGGUCUUGUACACACCGCCCGUCACACCAUGGGAGAUGGAUAUGCCCGAAGUCAGUGACCCAACCGCAAGGGGGGAGCUGCCGAAGGUGGAGCCAUUAACUGGGGUGAAGUCGUAACAAGGUAAC